CCAUUGACUAAAAUAUACUUCUACACUCAAAAAAAUAAAUGCUAUUUUAUCAACUAAUGCCACUAUUGAGUCAAUUGUACAUCCAAAAAUAGCAUGAGGUUUAGAAAAUCUGACCAACAAGCAUGGCUAAAAGUAAAACUUUGGUUUAGUUCAAAGAACCGGCUUAAAUUAAUGAACCAUAAUAGUGAACCGAUGCGGACGGAGUCGAGGUUUGUUAACCAAGUCACACUAUAAAAAUAUGAAGAUAACACAUUGUGCUCUCUUCUCUGGAAACUUUUAGGGUUUUUGACUCUUCGCUUAUCGCCGCUAACCUCUCUCGCCUCCGUGAACCAUCUCAGGCAGGAUGGAUUCUCAGAUUAAGCACGCCGUGGUGGUGAAAGUGAUGGGACGCACUGGGUCAAGGGGUCAGGUGACGCAGGUUCGAGUGAAGUUCACAGACUCUGAUCGUUACAUUAUGAGAAACGUUAAGGGACCCGUGAGAGAAGGCGAUAUCCUCACCUUGCUCGAGUCCGAGAGAGAAGCCAGGAGACUUCGUUGAUUCGCCUUUUUUUUUAUUUUUCUACAAGUUGGAAACAAGAAAACAGAACAAUGUCUACUUAUUUGUCUUUUUGGUUUCUGUGAGCGGUUUAGUUAUUAUGCUUUGGUUUGUUGCUUUAAGACAGUUCCUGGAGUGAUAUGGUUUAUUUGGUA